CAGUCGCCGCGGUAAUACGAAGGGGGCUAGCGUUGUUCGGAUUUACUGGGCGUAAAGGGCGCGUAGGCGGACUGAUAAGUCAGGGGUGAAAUCCCAAGGCUCAACCUUGGAACUGCCUUUGAUACUGUUUGUCUUGAGUUCGAGAGAGGUAAGUGGAACUGCGAGUGUAGAGGUGAAAUUCGUAGAUAUUCGCAAGAACACCAGUGGCGAAGGCGGCUUACUGGCUCGAAACUGACGCUGAGGCGCGAAAGCGUGGGGAGCAAACAGGAUUAGAUACCCCUGUAGUCCCUGUCUCUUAUAC
rnacentral:rRNA from 1 species